rnacentral:rRNA from 1 species
GACGAACGCUGGCGGCGUGCCUAAUACAUGCAAGUUGGGCGCUGAAGGUUGGUCCUUGUACCAACUGGAUGAGCAGCGAACGGGUGAGUAACGCGUGGGGAAUCUGCCUUUGAGCGGGGGACAACAUGUGGAAACGAAUGCUAAUACCGCAUAACAACUUUAAACACAAGUUUUAAGUUUGAAAGAUGCAAUUGCAUCACUCAAAGAUGAUCCCGCGUUGUAUUAGCUAGUUGGUGAGGUAAAGGCUCACCAAGGCGAUGAUACAUAGCCGACCUGAGAGGGUGAUCGCCGACAUUGGGACUGAGACACGGCCCAAACUCCUACGGGAGGCAGCAGUAGGGAAUCUUCGGCAAUGGACGAAAGUCUGACCGAGCAACGCCGCGCGAGUGAAGAAGGUUUUCGGAUCGUAAAACUCUGUUGGUAGAGAAGAACGUGGGUGAGAGUGGAAAGCUCAUCAAGUGACGGUAACUACCCAGAAAGGGACGGCUAACUACGU